GAUCCUGGCUCAGGAUGAACGCUGGCGGCGUGCCUAACACAUGCAAGUCGAACGAAGCACUUAUAACUGAUUCCUUCGGGGAGAAGAAAUAUGUGACUGAGUGGCGGACGGGUGAGUAACGCGUGGGUAACCUGCCUUAUACAGGGGGAUAACAGUUAGAAAUGACUGCUAAUACCGCAUAAGCGCACGGUCUCGCAUGAGAUAGUGUGAAAAACUCCGGUGGUAUAAGAUGGACCCGCG
rnacentral:rRNA from 1 species